ACAUUUCUGGAGAACUCAGCGAGACGGCUCUUUGUUGUCCUUAAGGCCGGCUGUGAUCACAAACUUUUGGAUGGGCCUUCCGACAGGAACAAACAAAGUCGACGCCGUUUAUGAGAGAAAGAGCGACAGCAAAAUCAUCUUCUUCAUCGGCUCGCAGUACUGGGUCUUCAGCGACACAAAGGUGAUGAGCGGUUACCCUCGGCCCCUGUCUGACUGGAGCGGCUCCGCGCCAGACCUGGGUGGACGCAGCAUUCGUCUGGGCCCACAAUGGGAAGACGUACCUGUUCAGCGGGGGACAAUUUUGGAAGGACUUGCUGAAGGACGGGGGAAUAAACCAGGAGUAUGUUUCUCCCAAGGCCACAGGGAUGGACUGGCUGCGGUGUCCGGGUCCUCCUCCAACGGCUGCGCCGCAGAAUCCUAGGAAGGAUUGCAGCUGUGCCUUCAACAGAUCGUCUCUGUCACUGAGGAACGACUGUCUGCUGCUGGUUGCCGUUAUGCUGAUAAUUAAUGGGUUGAUUUCUGUAAAUAAUUAACUAAUGUGGGCUGUUUUCUCUACACUGCAGCGUAAACGGGACUCCUUUCUACCAUCAAACAGCUUUAUUUCUUGAUUCAAAGGGUUUACUUGCAGGACUUGGCAACCGUAGGAUAGCAGCACUCUCCCAUCCCGGUUGAGUUUCACAUAUUUGUGUUUAUAGAAUAAAAAUGCACAAAAAUAUCAGCCUCUUUGGGAGUUUGAUAUUUAACACCAUUAUUCAGCAAAUGGAGCUCUUCUUUCACAUUUUAUUAUCUGAUCCAGACCGAAAUUUAGAAGAUUAAAACCGAGGCGCCUUCUUCUGAUUUCCAAAUCAAGUUCUUCCAAUAUAUUGUAGAUGUGUUUUAAAAUAUAUUCAACCAAUUAUGCAUUGGUUUAUCCUGUUUUUAAAUUAUUACAAUUUGAAAUAUAGUAGUUAGAUUUUCUACGUGUGAUUAUAUUUUAACUUGUACAUUAUCUCUGUUUGUGGUCUAAGGUUUGCUGCUUAAUAAUCGUCUGAAUUUACUUGUUUUUGUGUUAAUAACAUUUGGAUAAAGGGCUGUUAUGUAGCUAAAUGAAAUCCUCAGAAAUUCACACAGAUAAACUGAAAAUGUUUGUUUUAAUGGAGUUUUCAGUGUAAAAUGAACAAUCAGACAUAUAAUUGCAAAUAUUCAAAAAUGUAAUCAGAACCUCUCACUAUCUGUCUGACUUUUUUAGGGGAUUUUUGUACAGAAAGAGCAGACAAUGAACUGUUGUGCGUAUUGUU